UCCGUCAGCGGACGAGUGCUGACCCUGGUUUAGGGAGAAAAUGUGCCAAAAAGCGGCCCCACGGAGAAGACACUGCCCAGACCCGGGAUCCUCCAGCGUGCUCUCCGUUUCUUUGAGCUUCUGGGACUCAGAGGCUUGACUCUUGUUGCCGUUUACUCCAAAACCUCAGCCCAGCUGGCGCACUCCUUUCUGAGGCUUCUGUCUGAAGCCCUGCAUCCCGGCCAGGCCCUGCUCUCCAUGGCUACGACCCCACGCCAGGCCCAGUCCUCCUGAGCCAACAACACACAGGUCCUGGCAAGCACGAAUCUGAUUCCCGUCUCUGUGGGUUUGCUCAUUCUGGAUAGUCCAUGUACGGUCAAUUCACACUACAGAACCACUUCCAGAAGACUUUGGAUUUCAUAAGAGGAAUCAUCAGUGUGGACCUUUGGGAAACUUCUAAUUUCCCAGAAUGUCUUAUUGUGCUGUACUCAAGCUUCUUGUGAUGAUAUGAGGUGAUAAAAUGCUUCCAUGAUGAGUCAAAUUGAGGUGAAUGAUACAAGUAUUGUGACACUGGGCUACCAUGUACCCUUGACAGUAUGUCAUGAGGAGGAUCAUCUGCCUCAGGUGACCCUGGAUCGUUGAUGAUUGCGGAAUCCCAAGUGGGAUGGAGUGGAAUGGUGCGGGAUUUCAUCACACUACUCAGAAGAGAAUGAAGUUUGAAACUUAGAAAUUGUUUAUUCCUGGAGUUUACCAUAUAAUAUUUUUAAACCAUGGUCAGGGAAAUGUCAGAAUUGGAAACUAGGUUUGGGGGGUGUGGGCUAACUGUAUAUAACUUUCUAGAAUGUUAGAUCUUCAGUUCAGUUCAGUCGCUCAGUUGUGUCCGAUUCUUUGUGACCCCUUGAACCGCAGCAUGCCAGG